UAUUUAGUUGUGCACAGAGAA
rnacentral:piRNA from 1 species